rnacentral:rRNA from 1 species
GACGAACGCUGGCGGCGUGCUUAACACAUGCAAGUCGAACGGAAAGGCCCUGCUUGCAGGGUACUCGAGUGGCGAACGGGUGAGUAACACGUGGGUGAUCUGCCCUGCACUUCGGGAUAAGCCUGGGAAACUGGGUCUAAUACCGGAUAGGAGCCAUUUUUAGUGUGAUGGUUGGAAAGUUUUUUCGGUGUAGGAUGAGCUCGCGGCCUAUCAGCUUGUUGGUGGGGUAAUGGCCUACCAAGGCGGCGACGGGUAGCCGGCCUGAGAGGGUGGACGGCCAACGUGGGACUGGGAUACGGCCCAGACUCCUACGGGAGGCAGCAGGGGGGAAUAUUGCACAAUGGGCGCAAGCCUGAUGCAGCGACGCCGCGUGGGGGAUGACGGCCUUCGGGUUGUAAACUCCUUUCGCUAGGGACGAAGCUUUUUGUGACGGUACCUAGAUAAGAAGCACCGGCUAACUACGUG